rnacentral:tRNA from 11 species
GUGGCCUCGUGGUUAAGACGACCGCCUGGAAACCCAGGGGUCGUAGGUUCACA